AUGGUGGCGACGGCGACGGCGACGGCGAGGGAGCUGGUCCCGGCGGUAGCGGAGGGCGCGCCGUGGAAUCACGGGACGGUGAAAGACAUCGACGUGGCCGCCCGGCGGGCCCAGGAGGCAGCAAAUAGACGGUAUGAUGCAGCCAGUUGGUUGCGAAGAACAGUCGGGAUCGUGUGUGCAAGGGACCUGCCAGAAGAGCCCUCUGAGGAGGAAUUCCGGCUUGGGCUGAGAAAUGGAAUUGUCCUUUGCAAUGCACUGAACAAGGUUCAGCCGGGGGCCAUACCUAAGGUCGUGGAAGCCCGCACAGAUACCGUUAUACCUGCUGAUGGCUCAGCUCUGUGUGCAUAUCAGUACUUUGAGAAUUUGCGCAACUUCCUUGUCAGCGUACAAGAUAUAGGGCUCCCUACAUUUGAGCUGUCUGACUUGGAGAAGGGUGGCAAGGGUGUUCGAGUUGUCGAUUGCAUUCUUGCUCUGAAGUCAUUCAGUGAAAGUAAGACAACAGGGAGACAGACUCCAUGUAAAUAUGGCAGCAUUACAAAGCCUUCGACGUCUGGCAAGCAUUUCAUACUCAAGAAUUCUGAUGCUUUUAUGAAUAAGUUAAUGAGAAGCCACACAACAGAGCCAAUCCAGAAAGUUUUAAUAGCAGAGCAAAGCAUAACUGAUUGUUGUCUGGAAUCCACCGAGAUGACUAAUUCAGAAUCCCUUAACAUGCUUGUGCGUACGCUACUCUUGGAUAAGAAACCAGAAGAAGUCCCAUUGAUUGUUGAGUCACUCCUGAUUAAAGUUAUUCAGGAAUAUGAGUGUCGAGCUGCAAACAAGCACUUGGUGAAUUGCAUAGGUGACCUUAAAGGAACCGACCUAUUUUCCAGACCAGAGAAACCAUUGCCAGAAAAAACUUCCACCAGUAAUCAAGUUAAGAUGGGUGAAGAGGAGCCAAAUCUCUUAAAGGUGACGGAAGAGGUCAGCUCUGUAGUUCGGAAUGAUGAUUGUGUAGCUGAACAGUUCCAACCAGGGGUGGAAAUAACUAUUGAACUACAACAGAAACAUAUCCAGGAAUUAAGAAAUUCCCUUUCUUCUGUCAAGUCUGGAAUGGAACAAUUGAGAAUACAGUACUCUGAAGAUUUUACUAAAAUUGGUAGGCAGCUGUACAUCCUCUCUAACGCGGCUUCUGGCUAUCAUAAAGUUCUUGAGGAUAACCGCAAGUUGUACAACCAAAUACAGGAUCUUAAAGGAAAUAUUAGAGUAUAUUGUCGAGUGAGGCCUUUUCUACCUGGACAAGCAAAUUCCUCCAACACUGUUGCUGGCAUGGAAGAAAGAACAAUCACAAUAAUCACUCCCACAAAAUAUGGAAAAGAUGGAAGCAAAUCUUUUACUUUCAACAAGGUCUUUGGCCCAGCAGCCACUCAAGAGGAAGUCUUUUCGGAUAUGCAACCAUUGAUCCGUUCGGUUCUUGAUGGUUUCAAUGUUUGCAUAUUUGCUUAUGGCCAGACUGGAUCAGGGAAGACCUAUACAAUGAGUGGACCUAAUGUACUGAGCAAGGAAAGCGUUGGUGUCAACUACAGAGCACUAAAUGACUUAUUUAAUCUUCAAGCACAGAGAAAGGGGACAAUCAAUUACGAAAUUUCUGUGCAGAUGAUUGAGAUCUACAACGAGCAAGUGAGAGAUCUCCUUCAGGAUAGUGGAAACAGAAGAUUAGAAAUAAGAAAUACUUCACAGAAAGGGCUUGCAGUUCCAGAUGCGAGCAUAGUUCCUGUCACAUCGACCUCUGAUGUUGCUGAACUUAUGAAUCAAGGCCAAAAGAAUCGUGUGGUAGGUUCAACAGCCAUUAACGACCGAAGCAGCCGCUCUCAUAGUUGCCUGACUGUUCAUGUUCAAGGACGUGACCUAACAUCUGGGACAAUCUUGAGAGGUUGCAUGCAUCUUGUUGAUUUAGCCGGUAGUGAAAGAGUUGAUAAAUCUGAGGUUGUAGGAGAUAGACUGAAGGAAGCACUGUACAUAAACAAGUCACUUUCAGCACUCGGAGAUGUGAUUGCAUCCCUUGCCCAGAAAAACUCUCAUGUCCCUUACCGCAACAGCAAGCUUACCCAGCUUUUGCAAGAUUCUCUAGGAGGACAAGCAAAAACAUUGAUGUUUGUGCACAUAAGCCCUGAACCAGACGCUGUUAAUGAGACAAUAAGCACCUUGAAAUUUGCUGAACGAGUUGCCUCUGUUGAGUUGGGCGCAGCAAAAGCGAAUAAAGAAGGUGGUGAGGUUAGGGAGUUGAAAGAACAGAUUGCUUGCCUCAAGGCAGCACUGGCUAAGAAGGAAGGAGAACCAGAGAACAUUCAGAGCACACAGUCAAGCCCAAACAUAUACGGAAUCAACAAAAGCAAUGCAACACCUGUAUUCCGAAAAAACAGGCAGCCUAUGGAAGACGUUGGAAACCUAGAGGUCCGGAACAAUGUCACUCCGAUGCAAAAAGCGCUAAAGUUUGAUAUUCCUGGCUCUGGCAUCCUCGUCGAGCAUAAGUCGCCUAACUCGGUCAAGAAUUGCUGGGUUGAUAAUGCAGCUGUUGGUGACAACCAAUUCGAGAAUAGCAAUUCUGUUCGAGAGCAGGAGCCUGACCUCACCACUCACACCCUGCUUCCGAAUUUGUUCUAUCAAAGAUACACUCCGGGGCCGCAAAGGGGUAGGGUUGAGUCAGUACCAAGCCAGGAGUCAGACGAAUUUAAUGGUGUUACCAACAGCUGUUCCUCGGACCAAGACAUGGUGAUGUCAGCCAGUGGCCAGAAAGUAGUUGGCAUUACCAAUGGAGGCGUUUCAAAUAAAAAGAAGCCUCGGGCAAAGAAUGAAAAUAAUAUGACAACGAGGAGUACAAAUCCAACAUGCAAGUCACCACCCCAAUCGCAGAAAAGACUACAAACACCAGUCAGGAGCUCUGUGCAAAAAACACCUACCAAGAAUGGCAAACAACUUUUGAGUGGUACAGAUGGAAGAACUCCAAGUGGAAAGACUAACACUGUAAAGUAA
rnacentral:rRNA from 1 species